rnacentral:misc_RNA from 1 species
UCCCUUCUCUCCUUCCUUUUCCUUUCCUCCUUCCUUUCCUCCUCUCCUCUUUUCCCUCCCCUUUCGCCCUCUGGUAUUCCGGGGGGCAUGCCUGUCCGAGCGUCAUUGCGAACCCCUCAAGCACGGCUUGUGUGAUGGGCCUCUCGCGUCCUGGGAUCCCCCGGGACGGGUCCGAAUAGCAGUGGCGGCGACGCGGUUUAUCCGAUCAGCCAGAGCGUAUGGGGACUCUCCGUCACACGUCUCGCGGCGCGGACCGACGUCUGCCUAUUGAUCAAUCUUUUCUCGGUUGACCUCGGAUCAGGUAGGGAUACCCGCUGAACUUAAGC